rnacentral:rRNA from 1 species
GACGAACGCUGGCGGCGUGCCUAACACAUGCAAGUCGAACGAGGAACAAGCUUGAAGCUUGCUUUUGGAUUGUUUUUAGUGGCGGACGGGUGAGUAACGCGUGAGUAACCUGCCUUUCAGAGGGGGAUAACGUUCUGGAAAGAACGCUAAUACCGCAUGAUAUUUCGAAGCCGCAUGGUUUUGAAAUCAAAGGAGCAAUCCGCUGAAAGAUGGACUCGCGUCCGAUUAGCUAGUUGGUGAGGUAAUGGCUCACAAAGGCGACGAUCGGUAGCCGGAUUGAGAGGUUGAUCGGCCACAUUGGGACUGAGACACGGCCCAGACUCCUACGGGAGGCAGCAGUGGGGGAUAUUGCACAAUGGAGGAAACUCUGAUGCAGCAACGCCGCGUGAGGGAAGAAGGUUUUCGGAUUGUAAACCUCUGUCCUUGGUGACGAUAAUGACGGUA